rnacentral:rRNA from 1 species
GGGUUUGGCUGUUCGCCAAUUACAGUGGUACGUGAGCUGGGUUCAGAACGUCGCGAGAYAGUUUGGUCSCUAUCUGCCGUGGGCGKCGAAAUUUGAGAGGAGUUGACCCUAGUACGAGAGGACCGGGUUGAACAUACCUCUGGUGUACCUGUCGUCACGCCAGUGGCGCAGCAGGGUAGCUAUGUAUGGACGGGAUAACCGCUGAAAGCAUCUAAGCGGGAAGCCUCCCUCAAGAUAAGAUUUCACAGGACCGUGGAAGACCACCACGUUGAUAGAUCGGAUGUGGAAGUGCGGUAACGCAUGAAGCUAACCGAUACUAAUUGUCCUAUUCGCGCUU